rnacentral:rRNA from 1 species
GCUUGUCUCAAAGAUUAAGCCAUGCAUGUUCAAACAUAAGUAUUAUAAAGCGAAGUUGCGAAUGGCUCAUUAUAUCAGUUAUAAUAUACUAGAUAGUUUCUCUACUUGGAUAACCGUAGUAAUUCUAGAGCUAAUACAUGACUAAAAGGGCUAGCCCUGCAUUUAUUAGAUACAACCGCCCCUCACGGGUUUUGGUGACUCAUAAUAACCGAACGGACCGCUUCAUGCGGUACGUCGUUCUGGAUUCUACCCUAUCAGCUUUCGAUGGUAGGGUAUUGGCCUACCAUGGCGUUAACGGGUAACGGAGAAUUAGGGUUCGAUUCCGGAGAGGGAGCCUGAGAAACGGCUACCACAUCCAAGGAAGGCAGCAGG